UCCAAACCUUGGUUCUCCUACGAAAAAAUCUUUCGCCUUUUACUAAAGGUUGCCGUGGAGGAGCUAACAACACAAUAUGCCUAAGGGUAUUUUUUGUCGCCCACCGGAAAAUAGGGCG